rnacentral:rRNA from 1 species
UAAUAUAAGGUUUUGAUAUACUAGAACUUAAGUCUAUGUUUUGCAUUAAAAACAUUAUGAUAAUUAGUAAGGGUGAUUAAACAUUAUUGUUUAUUAUAUUCAUAAGUAAGUACCGUGAGGGAAAAACAAGUUAAAAUUAAAUAAAAGAAGGACUAAAAUUCCGUACCUUUUGCAUCAUGGUUUAGCUAGAUUUCGUCUUUUUAUUAAGAGUCUCGAAAUUCAAUGAGCUAUUUUUGUCCAACAUAUUAGGGUAAUAAGAUUGAUUGUGGCAAAAAUCUUCUUAGAGGUGAAAAUAGAAAUGAAAUUUUAUCCGCAUUGAAUGAUAGCUAGUUCUCUUAAAAGGCAUCUAAGUGCUUCAAAUUAAUGUUAUUUUGUAAAGGAUAAUACUAAAUAAACUUAGUUUGACUAGGUUUUCGAGGAUAAGCUCGAAAACAUAAUACAAGUAUGCAUUAUUAUUUACAUUAAAUUUAGGCUUGAAAAUAGCCAGAAUAAUUGAUUUUGUUAUAAUUUCAUUAGAAACAAAAAAAAAUAAUUGAUUUGCAAAGAAUAGUUAAAAGAGUAAAGUUUUAAACUAAGUAAAAGUUAAACUUAUGCUAAAAUGAGUAUUUUUUCAAUUUAUUUAUAUUUUGACACUCCACGUUUCAAAAUUAGUUUCUAAUUUUUACCAAAAAACCACAGAAAGGAACUCGGCAAAUACUAUAUUCUGCCUGUUUAGCAAAAACAUGGCUCCUUGUGUACAAAAAAUAGGGAGUCGGACCUGCCCAGUGAAGAUUUUUAACGGCCGCGGUACUCUGACCGUGCAAAGGUAGCAUAAUCAUUUGCCUUAUAAUUGAAGGCUAGUAUGAAUGGUUUGACAAGAAUAUAACUGUCUCUCUGCAGUUUUUUAGAAUUUUAUUUAUGGGUGAAGAAGCCUAUAUUCAAUUAAUAGACAAGAAGACCCUAUCGAGCUUGAAAGAAAUUGGUGAAAUAAAGCAAACAAAUAAGUAACUAAAAUGUAGGCACUAAAUAUUUUAGUUGGGGCGACUGAGGAACAAAAAAAGCUUCCUUUAUAAAUAUAUAAAGCCAAACGAGCUUUGAUCCAAAAAAUUUUGAUUAAAGAAAUUAGUUACCGUAGGGAUAACAGCAUAAUCCUUUUUGAGAGCUCCUAUCGAAAAAGGGGUUUGUGACCUCGAUGUUGGACCAGAAUAUCCUAAAGAUGUAGCAGUCUUUAAGGGUUGGUCUGUUCGACCAUUAAAAUUCUACGUGAUCUGAGUUCAGACCGGCGUGAGCCAGGUCAGUUUCUAUCUUUA